rnacentral:rRNA from 1 species
CCUACGGGAGGCUGCAGUCGAGAAUCAUGCACAAUGGGGGAAACCCUGAUGGGGCGACGCCGCGUGGGGGAAUGAAGGUCUACGGAUUGUAAACCCCUGUCAUGUGGGAGCAAAUUAAAAAGAUAGUACCACAAGAGGAAGAGACGGCUAACUCGGGGCCAGCAGCCGCGGUAAGACAGAGGUCUCAAGCGUUGUUCGGAAUCACUGGGCGUAAAGCGUGCGUAGGCUGUUUCGUAAGUCGUGUGUGAAAGGCGCGGGCUCACCCCGCGGACGGCACAUGAUACUGCGAGACUAGAGUAAUGGAGGGGGAACCGGAAUUCUCGGUGUAGCAGUGACAUGCGUAGAUAUCGAGAGGAACACUCGGGGCGAAGGCGGGUUCCUGGACAUUAACUGACGCUGAGGCACGAAGGCCAGGGGAGCGAAAGGGAUUAGAUACCCUUGUAGUC